GAUGAACGCUGGCGGCGUGCCUAAUACAUGCAAGUCGAGCGAAGCGGGAACGGGUGAGUAACACGUGGAUAACCUCCUAUAAGACUGGGAUAACUUAGGGAAACAGGAGCUAAACCGGUUACUUAUAGAUGGAUCCGCGCUGCAUUAGCUAGUUGGUAAGGUAACGGCUUACCAAGGCAACGAUGCAGAGCCGACCUGAGAGGGUGACCGGCCACACUGGAACGGAGACACGGUCCAGACUCCGACGGGAGGCAGCAGUAGGGAAUCGUCCGCAAUGGGCGAAAGCCUGACGGAGCAACGCCGCGUGAGUGAUGAAGGUCUUCGGAUCUUAAAACUCUGUUAUUAGGUAAGCGGUACCUAAUCAGAAAGCCACGGCGAACUACGUGCCAGCAGCCGCGGUAAUAC
rnacentral:rRNA from 1 species